GGCUAGAACUUGAGAAAAGUUUUGACCGGCAAGCAGUUGGUGCUGUGUUAGAUCUCACUGGAGAUGAGGACAGCAAUAUGAAACACAAGAAAGGAAUCACCAGAUGGGAUCGACGAAAGAAAAAGUUUGUGAAGGACAUAGGC